UAAAGCAAUUAGCAGAAGAGAACUCAAGAAAUCAUCCAGGAUGAUACUGUCAUUUGAGUGAUGAAGAAACUGAAGUCCAGACAGCAGAAGGAACUUGGCAAAAAUGACAUUGCCAAUCCGUUCUCUGGACUUCCAGUGGUUCCCAUUGGUCUGGCCUGAUCCUUCUAAAAGCCAGAGGGCAAGAGAGCCCAUUGAUGCCAUCCCUACAGGUUUUGAAGUAUGGGAUUCAUCACCAUUCCACCUGACUAUCAACUAUCCACCAGGCACAUGCGACUAAUUUGAUUUCCAAACAAUGUUUCCUGAAUCAGCAUGGAAUGCAGUGACAGUGAGCAGAGUGAGCACCCAGCCAACCAGAGAUUGACGGACACUGGGAGUACUCCGUGGAACCAAACAGACAAAUAAGCAAGAGGCAUGCUUCCUGCUCUCACUAAGCCUAUGGACUAAUACACGGGAAACAACACCUGUCAAAGAAUCAGCAAAUAAACGGAUGGUCUCAACUGCAACAAACAUUACCAAGAAUGUUAUAUUAUGGGAGGAACUGCCCUAUCUGGAAACUUCUCUGUAAA